ACGGCUCAGUAACACGUAGCUAAUCUGCCCUUAGGACGAGAACAACCCCGGGAAACUGGGGCUAACUCUUGAUAGGUGAAGAACUCUGGAAUGAGUCUUUGCCUAAAUAGAUUCACGUUAUCCUCGUGAAUUUGCCUAAGGAUGAGGCCGCGACCGAUCAGGUUGUUGGCGAGGUAAUGGCUCACCAAGCCUUUUACCGGUGCGGGCCGUGGGAGCGGGAGCCCGGAGAUGGGUACUGAGACAAGGACCCAGGCCCUACGGGGCGCAGCAGUCGCGAAACCUUUGCAAUAAGCGCAAGCUUGACAGGGCUAUCCCGAGUGCCAUCCGCUGAGGAAGGCUUUUACCCAGUCUAGAACGCUGGGGGAAUAAGGAGAGGGCAAGUCUGGUGUCAGCCGCCGCGGUAAUACCAGCUCUCCGAGUGGUGUGGAUGUUUAUUGGGCCUAAAGCAUCCGUAGCUGGCUAGGUAAGUCCCUUGUUAAAUCCACCGAAUUAAUCGUUGGAUCGCGGGGGAUACUGCUUGGCUAGGGGACGAGAGAGGCAGACGGUAUUUUCGGGGUAGGGGUGAAAUCCUAUAAUCCCGGGAAGACCACCAGUGGCGAAGGCUGUCUGCUAGAACGCGCCCGACGGUGAGGGAUGAAAGCUGGGGGAGCGAACCGGAUUAGAUACCCGGGUAGUCCCAGCUGUAAACGAUGCAGACUAGGUGUUUGGACGGCCACGUGCCGUUCUAGUGCCGCAGGGAAGCUGUUAAGUCUGCCGCCUGGGGAGUACGAUCGCAAGAUUGAAACUUAAAGGAAUUGGCGGGGGAG
rnacentral:rRNA from 1 species